rnacentral:lncRNA from 1 species
GGGUUUAGAGUUAAGGGGUGGGGUUUUGCGGAUAUGAUUUCAAAUUUUAAAAACUAAAAAAAUAUUAAAAUUUUCAAAAUAAAAAAGUCUAUUUUGGUCAUUUUGUUUUUUGAGGUCUAUUUUUGUGACAUAAACUUUUUUAAAAAGUCUAUUUGAGAGAAUUACCAUUUUUUUUUAGAGAAUUGCCAUUUUAUUAAUGUAAAAUCAAUAAAAUUUUAUAAUUCCUUUAAUAAUUGUGAAAUAGAGGGAAUAUUGUUCAAAUUGUAUGAAAAUUCUUACAAGACAUUAAACAAUUAAAUAAUUAUAAAUAAAAUACUUUUGUCAGCAUCAGAAGUUUUUAUCUUUGUCAUGUUUCCUCAUUCUAACUUUGGAAAUUGUCAUUUUGACCUCUUCUUAUAAGAAAUAUAAAAACAUAUACAAAACUAUAGACUACAAUUUUUGGCAAUAAGAAAUAACACAUGGUAGACUUGUCUUAUAUCCAUCAAUAGAAUAAAAUGAAACUUUCUAUAUAAAUCUUUAUCAAUGUAUCAUGUUAUUUAUCUAC